rnacentral:lncRNA from 1 species
CCAAAUUUCCAGGUGCUGACUGAGGAGAUGCUAACAGCCCAUUUCGUUCAAGCAAGUGAGGGUCAGAAUGUUUCUUGCCUAUAUCUGCGAAAGACCGAACCAAGGGAAUCCGAUUGCUGAAUUUUUUCUCAUUUUGAUGAUGGUGCCUUUUUAGAAGUGCCACUCUCACAUUCUCCCUUAUCGAUUCAUCCAGUUGGCCAGAAGCAAUCAUGUUGUCCAAGACCAUAUCUGCUAUCUCAUCUAGUGUGUUUGCUCUCAUGUCCAACAUGACCGUCCCAUUAAGAAUACAGCUUCGCAAUUCAAAGAGACUGUGUAGAGACAGAGUUGCUACAUAAGGCUUGCUCCAACGAUCACCACCAUCUUCAACAUCCUCUUCAAAUUUUAGCCACCUAGCAGUUUCUUUCCACUCAUACUCUUCUCCAUCCCUGAAGCAAAGUUCAUCCAUUUCAG